UUUAAUUUUAUUAAGUGGGCUGCAUUUUUUAUAACUUGGGCUUCAUGCAUAUAUUUCUAUUGGGCUGCAUGUUUAUUUGUUUGGUUAUAUGUUUUAAUUAUAAGUUAAAGUCUUACAAAUAUUUGUAAGCAAAAUAUUUUUAAGUUGAUUUUAUGCUCAAGAUGAGUUUUUAAGUAAAAGCCGAGCAAGGAUAUUAUUGAAAUCCUUAGCCAAGAAAAAUGAUUUUCAAGUUUUAUGUUGAAUUUUUGAAAAUCCGGGUGUUGCGAAUCUAGUUAGAAAUGAUGACAAGUCAUGAAGGUUAAGCUUGAUUUUAGGACUAUGAGUUUAAGUUGAGAACUUAUCUUGUAGGUCCUACAGAAGAGGAUAUUUAGGCUCUUGUUCAGCUGAGUUAUUUGUUUGGAUUUUCUCCAAAUCAGGUGAGGCUUUAUUUACGAAAUGUAUGUUUGAGCUAAUAAGCUCGGUUUUAUGUAAAGUUAAAGAUGAUGGUUCAUGCUUAAAAUGUUUUUGCUCUCUAUUGGUUACUGCUUCUACCAGAACAUUGUUGGCUCCGCCAACCAGAACAUUGUUAGCUCUGCUAACCAGAAUUGUGUACGUACACCAGAACCUGUUGUCUCGAGAGAUCGGUGACAACCAGUUGUAGAUAGCAUGCCCAAUAGAUGGCCAGGAAAAUAUGAGCUCAGAUUAUUUUAGUAUGCAUGGAAUGACUCGUCUUUAAAAACAUUCUGUGUUAUACUGUUUAAAGGCAUGAAUUAUCUUUUUCAGUAAAUGAUUUUUAAAAUGUUUUUAAAUGGCUCAACCCACUGAGUACACUAGUACUCAGCCCUGCAAUUGUUUUCAAAACCUUUUGCAGAUUGAGCAGCUAGUGGUGACGUGCGAGGCUGAGGAAGGGUUGUUGCUGUGGAUUCUGAAGAAAUACUGCGUUUACUUCUCCUAAAAUAAAUUCACUUAGUGAAUAUUAUCUGAUGCCUAAUUAUAUUAAUACUUUUAUUCAUAUUUCUAAUAUGAAUUUCAUUCUCCAUCACUUUUCUAGCGAUUGUUUUUCGCAUCUAUUAUAUGCUUAGUAUGAGACGUUGUUUUGGUCUCAGACCUUCGAACUUCCGAUCCUGAUAGGGAGAAUAAUUAUGUUAUAAUGUCGUACUUGUUUUCAUUUAAAUACGGCAUAAUGUCCAACCCUCAGGGCACAUUACCUAUUUUAUUCAAGUAAAGCUUAGUAGUCCUGUCACAUAGCCCAUUUCUUAUUCUCCCGGGAAAUCAGGGCUGUCACAAAUGGUAUCAGAGCAAAGGUUCUUGGCUCUGAGACCGCUAUUUCAUUGAUGUUGAGUCUAGAAUAACAUCUCUAGACUUCUAAGCUACACAACAACCCUCAGCUCGCCUUCACACCGCCCUCAAGAAAGAAAGGUACGCGAUUUUAACAAAUUUUACUUAAAGUGCGUACAAGUAUUUAAAGUGGUUUUAAAAGCAAUAGUUCUUGUUAAAAGAAAAUAUUUCAGUUUGUUGUAUUAUUUUACAACCAGAUUCCCAGAAAGAUGUUAUUUUGAGCUUUAGCUUGAAUAACCAGAAAGUUUGUCAUGUUUGUAUGACCAGAAAGAUUUGUCAUAUUCAUUUAUAUGACCAGAAAGUUGUCAUAUCUUUAUGACCAGUAUUUGAGCUUUGACUCGCCUCAGUUAUCAGUUCAUGCAUGUGUAAUUUUCUCGUAGUUAGAGAAAUACACUAGAUAAUAGCAUGAUAAUCUUAUGAGAUAGACUCCUAGCAUGAAGCGCUAGAAGAAUCAAGAAAAAGUUAGAGUGCUCUACAGAAAUACGUAUAACUUAGAAAGCUCGAAUAGAAAGAUAGAACGAAGCAAGAUAGAACAUAGAAAGACAUCAUACAAAGAGAUAGAACAUAGAAAGACAUCAUACAAAGAGAUAGAACAUAGAAGUUCAGAAUUUAGAAAGAUAGAUCGCAAAAGACAAAGAGAAUAGAAGAAGAAGACAUAGAAGGAUGAGCUGAAGACAAACAAAACGACGAGUGAAUUGUUCCACGCAAUCUACAAGUAUGAAAGACUCAAGACUUCACAGUAACGUGUACCAAUCACUAAAGAAAUGUGGAAGAGAACUACUGCAACUUCACCACAAGCUGACAAGAAUUUGAAGCUACGAGAAGCAGGAAUGCCCCACAAUAUAGUAGGGUUACCUGUUAUAUAUAUUCUAAACGUAAACCUUUAUUUCAUUUCGAGCCCGACGCUUUUGGAAUAUAUAUAUAUAAGUAAAUUCUUUGAAGAGCAUUAUUUUUCAUGUUCAAAAGCCCUAAUACUUUUUGGAAUAUAUAAUCCUUGGAAAGACCUUAUUUUGCUCCUUGAAGCCUUUUUUUGGAAGCAUAUGAUACAUAGGUUUCAUACCUUGAUAUGCCAAUCUUCAUUCAUAUUUUAAUAUGUGUUGUUAUUUUUUUUAGCGCAACACACCUAGUUAUUUUUGCUCAUAUACUUAUGAUAUCAAUAAGCUUUCACUAACCAAGUUGUUUCUACAGAAUGGCUGGAGAAGAAGAAAGGGUACCUAACGCUGAAGAACCUGUGCUACAAGCCGCACAACGCAGAGCGAGUGAAAGGUUCCGCAAGCACAAUCCACCCACCUUCAAUGGAAUGGGAGAUCCAAUGGAUGCAGAAAAAUGGAUACGAUCCUUAGAGCGAAUCUUCGACUUCAUGGGUCUUACUGACAAAGAGCGUUUGACAUGUGCUAUCUUUCAACUAACAGACGAGGCUGACUAUUGGUGGGAGUCGGUGCAGAGGACGUUANNNNNNNNNNNNNNNNNNNNNNNNNNNNNUUAUUAUUAUUAUUAUUAUUAUUAUUAUUAUUAUUAUUAUUAUUAUUAUUAUUAUUAUUAUUAUUAUUAUUAUUAUUAUUAUUAUUAUUAUUAUUAUUAUUAUUAUUAUUAUUAUUAUUUUAUUUUUUCAAUGUCAAAAUAGAAGACACAUUGUCCUACUGUUAUUAAAUAUUGUGUUGAAGAUUGUUGGGUCCCGGAGGGCAAUUGAACUGGCGUAUGGGGGGGGAAUAUACCAGUAGACUAUUUUUUAGAAAAUCUUCUUUAGAACUGAAAGAGUAUCAACUGAUACCGAAAUGUUUGGAUUGAAAGACAACAGUCAAGGACUGUUUCAUUUAAAAUAGGGGUGUAGACUGAUACUGGAAUGACUUCAGUAUUUUGAUUUCAGUCAAGCACAAAGCUUUGACUGAUAAUCCACGUAAGGUUUCAAUCUAUAAUUUGAAAUCAGAUAAGUGUUAUGAAUCUUACUGAUUAUCCAAGGAUUUGUCAGUUAGACUAAUAACACUAGCAGCAGAAAUUAAACUUAAGAAAUAACCUUUGUGAUUAACACUUUGUCAGAUCAAUUUCAGUUAAGUAAAGAGUUUGUGCACAACAAUGAAAGUAAAUACUGAAAGCGAUAAGCAACACGAGAUUUUUAAAACCUUAAAUUGAAACAAGGUUUCAGUACCAAUUCUCGGAUUGGACUUCUCAUCUUCUUCUCAGGUCAUAGUUGCAAUGACUACACUCGCCUUGCUUGCGGGGGCUAAGAUCUCUUGAGUUCAGACAACAGUCUAGAACUCUCUCUCUCAAACUCUAUUUUUCCUCUUUUGAAAAGGGGUUCGAAAUACCAACAGGAUUACAGAGAAUAUGCUCUCUGUAAUCAAAGACUUAGGCUAGGGAUUUUAUAAUGUAAUUGCCUAAGGAUGUAAGAGAAUUUUGGUAAUCAGUAAACUGAUUUGAACAUGGAAUAUUAUCUUCUUCAAUUCAAACUUUGGAUAGCAAUAAAAUGGCUGAGUCGCAAAUUUGACAGAGGUUCAGNNNNNNNNNNCUCGAGCUCUAUAUUGUAAUACCCCAAGUUUUCCUCAAUAUGAUUUUAGAAGAAUGAUUGGGUUUAGAAUUAAGUCGAUUCGCACCCCGGAGAAAAUUUGUUUUAAUUCAGAUAAAUGGUUUGUUAAAAUUUUAAGGCAAAUUUGUCAAUGGGCCUUAUUUGAUUAUGAUGUGGGAUCAUUNUUUUUUUAGUGGGCCGAGUUGUUAUUUGGAGGCCCAAACCCAUUGCUAUUAUAGAUAUUUUCAUUAAGGAUUUAUGGAAGGGGGUUAAUCCACGUUGCCAAUUUCCUUCUACAAACUCACUCGAGCUCUGCACCGAGGAUCAGCAGUAGAGCUCUUCUCUUCCUCAAUCAUCCAUCAUAUUCUUAUCUAAUCAUCCACAUACAACAACCCACAAAAAUCAACCAUCAUCAAGAAAUCGAAAGUCUAUUCCCAACCACAGUUCAUUAUAUUCUUUUUGCCACUCAAUCACAUCUCUUUGAUGAAGAACUCUAUUCUAUAGCAAAAUCCUUGAGAAAAGGUUUGAUCUUACACCAUCUAUUCAUGACUUAUAUACUGUUUUCACUACUUCACAAAGAAGCUAUCUUUUUCAUGCUUUUGUUGGCGUGUGUGUGUAUGUGUGCUGCUGUGUGCGUGAGUUCUUAGAGCUGUCGUCGUCGUUGUGGCGAGACGGGCAGGUCGGGAUCGAGAGAGAACAGGGGAGGAUCGGCGGCGGCAGCGGCCUGAUGCUUCUGCUUGCGACUGCCGUAAAUGGAGAGAGAGAAAGGGGAGACGGCUGGACGGUGGGGCUGUUCAGCGGUGGGACCGGCGGCGGCGGUGGAGGCGGCUUGUGACUCCUACUGUCCGUCGGUCAAGAGAGAAAGAGAUGGGUGGUGCUGCUAUCGUUCGGAGAGGAGUCAGCAGAGCUGCUGCUGCUGUUGACGGCGGUGGUCCGGUUGGCUGUGGCUGCCGUUCGAAGAAUCAGAGGAGGAGAGAGGCGGCGAUGGCGGCGGUCCGGCUGACUGCUGCUGUCGGUUGGAGUAGAGGGGUCAAGUCCGGCGGUAACCUCGCCGGAAAUCGAAGAGGAGAGAGAAGCUAGGGAUUUUUGGGGGUUCGGUGAAUUGAGGGAGGAGGGAGAAAGACAGAGAAAGAUGAGGGCGGCGGUGGUACGCCGGCGUCGCGCCGGCGAAUUUGUAGGCGGCGGCGGCGACGUGAGAUGAGAGGAAGGGAGAGAGAAAGUGGCGAGAAGGAGAGAGAGACCGAAUGGGAGAGUGAGAGUGAGGUCUUGUGUCUGUGUGUGUGCGUGAGAAAAAGGAGAAGAAAGGAGAGGUUGAUGAGUUGAGUUGGGCUGGGUAUUUUUUUUUAGUUGGGCUUAUAGUUGGGCCGUUUUUUUUUUAUUAAGUGAGCUGCAUUGUUUUUAAUUUGGGCCUUUAAUUAUUUUGGGCUGCAUGUUUAUUUGUUUGGUUACAUGUUUUUAUUAAAAAGUUAAAGUCUUACAAAUGUUUGUAAGCAAAAUAUUUUUAAUUUGAUUUUAUGCUCAAGAUGAGUUUUUAAGAAAAGUCGAGCAAGGGUAUUAUUGAAACUCUUAGCCAAGAAAAAUGAUUUUUAAGUUUUAUGUUGAAUUUUUGGAAACCCGGGUGUUGCGAAUCUAGUUAGAAAAUGAUGACAAGUCAUGAAGGUUAAGCUUGAUUUUAGGACUAUGAGUUUAAGUUGAGGACUUAUUUUGUAGGUCCUACAGAAGAGGAUAUUUAAGCUCUUGUUCAGCUGAGUAAUUUGUUUGGAUUUCUCCAAAUCAGGUGAGGCUUUAUUUACGAAAUGUAUGUUUGAGCUAAUAAGCUCGGUUUUAUGAAAUGUUAAAGUUGAUGGUUCAUGCUUAAAAUGUUUUUGCUCUCUAUUGGUUAUUGCUUCUACCAGAAUAUUGUUGGCUCUGCCAACCAGAACAUUGUUAGCUCUGCUAACCAGAAUUGUGUACGUACACCAGAACCUGUUGUUUCGAGAGAUCGAUGACAACCAGUUGUAGAUAGCAUGCCCAAUAGAUGACCAGGAAAAUAUGAGCUCAGAUUAUUUUAGUAUGCAUGGAAUGACUCACUUUAAAAACAUUCUGUGUUAUACUGUUUAAGGCAUGAAUUAUCUUUUUCAGUAAAUGAUAUUUAAAAUGUUUUUAAAUGGCUCAACCCACUGAGUACACUAGUACUCAGCCCUGCAAUUGUUUUCAAAACCUUUUGCAGAUUGAGCAGCUGGUGGUGACGUGCGAAGCUGAGGAAAGGUUGUUGCUGUAAUAUUGAAGAACACUCUGUUUUACUUCCGCUGAAAUAAAUUCACUUAGUGAAUAUUAUCUGAUGCCUAACUAUAUUAAUACUUUUAUUCAUAUUUAUAAUAUGAAUUUCAUUCUCCAUCACUUUUCUAGCGAUUGUUUUCCCGCAUCUAUUAUAUGCUUUGUAUGAGACGUUGUCUUGGUCUCAGACCUUCGAACUUCCGAUCCUGAUAGGGAGAAUAAUUAUGUUAUAAUGUCGUACUUGCUCUCAUUUAAAUACGGCAUAAUGCCAACCCUCAGGGCGCAUUACAUAUUUUAUUCAAGUAAAGCUUAGUAAUCCUGUCACAUAGCCCAUUUCUUUUUCUCCCGGGAAAUCGGGGC
rnacentral:lncRNA from 1 species